rnacentral:rRNA from 1 species
UACGAAGGGUGCAAGCGUUAAUCGGAAUUACUGGGCGUAAAGGGUGCGUAGGCGGUUCGUUAAGUCUGUCGUGAAAUCCCCGGGCUCAACCUGGGAACUGCAUCUGUGACUGCAUCGCUGGAGUGCGGCAGAGGGGGGUAGAAUUCCACGUGUAGCAGUGAAAUGCGUAGAGAUGUGGAGGAAUACCGAUGGCGAAGGCAGCCCCCUGGGAUGAUACUGACGCUCAUGCACGAAAGCGUGGGGAGCAAACAGG